rnacentral:rRNA from 1 species
GAAACUCGAGCUAAUACCGCAUACGCCCUACGGGGGAAAGCAGGGGAUCUUCGGACCUUGCACUAUUGGAUGAGCCUAAGUCGGAUUAGCUUGUUGGUGAGGUAAAGGCUCACCAAGGCGACGAUCCGUAGCUGGUCUGCGAGGACGAUCAGCCACACUGGGACUGAGACACGGCCCAGACUCCUACGGGAGGCAGCAGUGGGGAAUAUUGGACAAUGGGGGCAACCCUGAUCCAGCAAUGCCGCGUGUGUGAAGAAGGCCUGCGGGUUGUAAAGCACUUUCAGUAGAGAAGAAAAGCCUAGGGUUAAUAACCCUGAGUCUUGACGUUACCUACAGAAGAAGCUCCGGCUAACUCCGUGCCAGCAGCCGCGGUAAUACGGAGGGAGCGAGCGUUAAUCGGAAUUACUGGGCGUAAAGCGCGCGUAGGCGGCUUUGUAAGUCGGAUGUGAAAGCCCUGGGCUCAACCUGGGAAUGGCAUUCGAUACUGCAAAGCUAGAGUAUGGUAGAGGGAAGUGGAAUUUCCGGUGUAGCGGUGAAAUGCGUA